AACGCGAAGAACCUUACCCAGGCUCGAAAUGUAGAGAUAAAUAACAGAGAUGUUAUGACCCGCAAGGGGCUCUAUAUAGGUGCUGCAUGGCUGUCGUCAGCUCGUGCCGUGAGGUGUUGGGUUAAGUCCCGCAACGAGCGCAACCCUUAUUGUCAGUUGCCAACAUGUAAUGGUGGGGACUCUGGCAAGACUGCCUAGGUUAACUAGGAGGAAGGUGAGGAUGACGUCAAGUCCGCAUGGCCUUUAUGUCUGGGGCUACACACGUGCUACAAUGGUCGGUACAGAAGGUAGCGAAGCCGCGAGGCGGAGCAAAUCCCAAAAACCGAUCUCAGUUCAGAUUGCAGUCUGCAACUUGGCUGCAUGAAGUUGGAAUUGCUAGUAAUGGCGUGUCAGCAACAGCGCCGUGAAUACGUUCCCGGGCCUUGUACACACCGACGCGUA
rnacentral:rRNA from 1 species